rnacentral:sRNA from 1 species
GCCGGGUGUGGUGGUGCACGCCUGUAAUCCCAGCUACUCAGGAGGCUGAGGCGGGAGAAUCACUUGAACCCAGGAGGCAGAGGUUGCAGUGAGCCGAGAUCGUGCCAUUACACUCCAGCCUGGGCAACAAGAGGGAAACUCCAUCUCCAAAAAAAGAAAAAAAAAAUUGGCCGGGCGUGGUGGCUCAUGCCUGUAAUCCCAGCACUUUUGGAGGCUGAGGCGGGCGGAUCACGAAGUCAGGAGAUUGAGACCAUCCUGGCUAACACGGUGAAACCCUGUCUCU